rnacentral:rRNA from 1 species
UACAGAGGUCUCAAGCGUUUGUUCGGAUUCAUUGGGCGUAAAGGGUGCGUAGGCGGCGGGGCAAGUCGGAUGUGAAAUCUCAGGGCUCAACCCUGAAACUGCAUUCGAUACUGCCUUGCUCGAGGACUGGAGAGGAGAUUGGAAUUCACGGUGUAGCAGUGAAAUGCGUAGAUAUCGUGAGGAAGACCAGUGGCGAAGGCGGAUCUCUGGACAGUUCCUGACGCUGAGGCACGAAGGCCAGGGGAGCAAACGGG